rnacentral:rRNA from 1 species
AACGAACGCUGGCGGCAUGCCUAACACAUGCAAGUCGAACGAGACCUUCGGGUCUAGUGGCGCACGGGUGCGUAACGCGUGGGAACCUGCCUUUAGGUUCGGAAUAACUCAGAGAAAUUUGAGCUAAUACCGGAUAAUGUCUUCGGACCAAAGAUUUAUCGCCUUUAGAUGGGCCCGCGUUGGAUUAGCUAGUUGGUGGGUAAAGCCUACCAAGGCGACGAUCCAUAGCUGGUCUGAGAGGAUGAUCAGCCACACUGGGACUGAGACACGGCCCAGACUCCUACGGAGGCAGCAGUGGGGAAUAUUGGACAAUGGGCGAAAGCCUGAUCCAGCAAUG